ACGGGUGAGUAACGCGUGGGUAACCUGCCUUAUACAGGGGGAUAACAGUCAGAAAUGGCUGCUAAUACCGCAUAAGCGCACAGAGCUGCAUGGCUCAGUGUGAAAAACUCCGGUGGUAUAAGAUGGACCCGCGUUGGAUUAGCUUGUUGGCGGGGUAACGGCCCACCAAGGCGACGAUCCAUAGCCGGCCUGAGAGGGUGAACGGCCACAUUGGGACUGAGACACGGCCCAGACUCCUACGGGAGGCAGCAUG
rnacentral:rRNA from 1 species